rnacentral:hammerhead_ribozyme from 1 species
GUACUGCUGAAGAGUCGCAAACUAGGACGGAGGGAACAGCUGUCCAGUAC